UAUGAAUAAAAUAAUUAAAGAUANAGUUUUUGCAUGUAAUCAAGUCUUGGAAUUCAUAAAAAGAAAUUCAUCAGGAUAACAAAUAACAUAAAAACAUACCUUUUAAGCCCAUGAAAAAAUUUGUUAACUCAAUAUAAAAUACUAAAUUCACCUAAAUAAAUCAAAAAAUAACACUUUAAAAGCAACAAUACGUUUGAAUAGCUUCUUUUUUAAUACAAGACAUUUCUUAAAAGGCUUAAUUCNCACUUAUUUAAAAACAAAUAAAUGGAGGUUAAGGGAUUCGAACCCUUGACCCCCGGCUUGUAAGCCGAUGCNCUAAACCAACUGAUUUAUUCCCCCAAAAAAGCCUUUGAUAAAACAAGGGAAGAGUUAAAAUAAUAAUUAUUUUAAACAAUUUCUUUCUCCU
rnacentral:misc_RNA from 1 species